AGAUUGAACGCUGGCGGCAGGCCUAACACAUGCAAGUCGAGCGGUAGAGAGGUGCUUGCACCUCUUGAGAGCGGCGGACGGGUGAGUAAUGCCUAGGAAUCUGCCUAGUGGUGGGGGAUAACGUUCGGAAACGGACGCUAAUACCGCAUACGUCCUACGGGAGAAAGCGGGGGACCUUCGGGCCUCGCGCCAUUAGAUGAGCCUAGGUCGGAUUAGCUAGUUGGUGAGGUAAUGGCUCACCAAGGCGACGAUCCGUAGCUGGUCUGAGAGGAUGAUCAGUCACACUGGAACUGAGACACGGUCCAGACUCCUACGGGAGGCAGCAGUGGGGAAUAUUGGACAAUGGGCGAAAGCCUGAUCCAGCCAUGCCGCGUGUGUGAAGAAGGUCUUCGGAUUGUAAAGCACUUUAAGUGGAGGAAGGUUGUAACUUAAUACGUUGACAACUUUGACGUUACCGACAGAAUAAGCAACCGGCUAACUUCGUGCCAGCAGCCGUA
rnacentral:rRNA from 1 species